GUCCCCAUAGCUUAACCCAAAGCACGGCACUGAAGCUGCCAAGAUGGUACCCACAUUACCUGCGGACA
rnacentral:tRNA from 1 species